rnacentral:rRNA from 1 species
GUCCACGCUGUAAACGAUGUCUACUAGCCGUUGGGCGACUUGAUCGCUUAGUGGCGCAGUUAACGCGAUAAGUAGACCGCCUGGGGAGUACGGCCGCAAGGUUAAAACUCAAAUGAAUUGACGGGGGCCCCGCACAAGCGGUGGAGCAUGUGGUUUAAUUCGAUGCAACGCGAAGAACCUUACCAGGUCUUGACAUCCUCGGAACUUAGCAGAGAUGCUUUGGUGCCUUCGGGAACCGAGAGACAGGUGCUGCAUGGCUGUCGU